UAAAUUUAAGUCACGUAACUUUAAUUUAAUUCUUUUUUAUUCUAUUCUAAAUAAUCUUCGUUCUGUUUCGUUUUGGGAUUUGGUUUGCAAGAUUCUUUAUGAGUUCGUGUGUUGAAGCAUAUUCUGUUGUGUCUGGGGAGAGUCAUUCUCUUUUAGUGCUUUAUAAUUUAUAACACACACUGGUAAAUAUUUUUUAUUUCUGUAUGUAAGCAUUUAGAUAUGUACAUAAACAGAUCAAUAUACAAACGGAUAGGUAUAUAGACUAUAUGAACAGACACGGAUCCACACAUAUAAAGAUACACAUCCAUACAUACAAACAUGGUACAUAGUUACACAACACACACAGAUAUGCACACGCAAGGAGACAGAGGUGCAUACAUAUACAAACACAUGCUCACACAUACAUGGGAUCUUUUCCUUUUGAACGGCACGCAAUUUCUAGUUAACUAAACACUUUAACUCUUCGUAUACUGGUAGAAUGUGUCAAAAAAAACAUUUUUUUAUCCUUUUUUGGAUCUUUUCCUUUUGAUGGAUGGAAUUUUCUAGUUAACUAAAAAAAUUGAAACAUCGUAUACUGGUAGAAUGUGUCAAAAGAAAACAUUAUUGAAAACAAAAUUGUAAUUUGUUUGUUUAACGUAGUUUAAUUUUUCGAAUUUUAACCAAUCCUAUGCUCUCUUUUGAGCUAAAAUCAUUUGCUGCGUCUAAAACUGAGACAACAUCCUGUCACUAACCCUCAACCUAACCCUAACCCUAAAUUUUUUUUCUCAAUUGUUAAAUUAAUUUAAUUGCUACGUGUGUAAUAAAAACGAAAGCAAUGGAAAAUAAUUUAAACAAUUGACAAACAAAAUAAUUCAAUAAAUCCAAGAGAAAAAGAUGUUUUAUAAACACAUUCUACCAGUAUACGAAGUUUAAAAACUCCUUAGUUACCUAGAAAUUAUGUUACAAAGUGUCGUUCAAAAGGAAAAGAUCCCACACAUACAUAGGAAAUACACAAACACGGACAGGCAAGCACAUAAAUAUGCAGGAUACGUACAUACUGAUGCACACACAUAUAUACAUAUAUACACAUGCAAACACACACACAUACAUAUGCAUACACACGCAUAGAUACAUACACAUGCAAACACACACACACAUACGUACAUAAAUAUGCAUACACACACAUAUAUACAUACAUACACAUGCAAACACACACACACAUACAUACGUACAUACAUAUGCACACACACACAUAGAUACAUACAUACACAUGCAAACAAACAUGCACAUACGUACAUACAUGCAUGUAUAGGCACAUACACACACACACACCGACCCACACGCAUGCGCACAAACAAACAGAAGGGAACGCAGUGUAAAUAACGGACAGAGUCAAAACUAUUGAAAAGGUUGUGUGUAGUCCCUUCCGUUUUGUAUGGGAGGUCGUUAUUCCUCUUGCAAAUUGUGUCCGUUAAAAGUUGUGUAUUGUUUUAUUGUAGCGAUUAUCGCUAGCCACGUAUUUGUCGGCUAUUUGUGUUGCCAAAGAGGACUACAUUCGUAGAUAUGUUGCAUAGGAGUGGCUGUGUGGUAAGUAGCUUGCUUACCAACCAAAUGGUUCCGGGUUCAGUCCCACUGUGUGGUACCUUGGGCAAGUGUCUUCUAUAGCCUCGGGUCAACCAAAGCCUUGUGAGUGGAUUUGGUAAACGAAAACUGAAAGAAGCCCGUGGUAUAUAUGUAUAUAUAUAUGUUUGUGUGUCUGUGUUUGCCCCCCUAGCAUUGCUUGACAACCGAUGGUGGUGUUUUUACGUCCCGUCACUUAGCGGUUCGGCAAGAGAGUUCGAUAGAAUAAGUACUGGGCUUCCAAACAAUAAGUCCUGGGUCGAUUUGCUCGACUAAAGGCGGUGCUCCAGCAUGGCCACAGUCAAAUGACUGAAACGCGUUAAGGAGUAAGGAAAUUUGGGUGUAGCACAGUUGUGUAGGUAUGCCAGUCUUUCAAUGCUUCAAUGAACUCCAACCCUUGCGAACAUUGACAUUAAACAGAUGACAGUAUUGCUGUUGUAAAAUUUGCAAUCAUCAUCAUCAUCAUUUAGCGUCCGUUUUCCAUGCUAGCAUGGGUUGGACGGUUCAACUGGAUUCUGUAAAGCUGGAAGGCUUUGUCAGGCCCAGUCAGAUCUGGCAGUGUUUCUACGGCUGGAUGCCCUUCCUAACGCCAACCACUCCAUGAGUGUAGUGGGUGCUUUUUACGUGCCACCCGCACAGGUGCCAGACUGAGCUGGCAAACGGCCACGAACAGAUGGUGCUUUUACGUGUCACCGACACGGUGGCCAGGCGGGGCUGGCAGCGGAAUCGAACGGUUGGUUCACUUAACCACAGUUGUAAUUCCCACUGAUGUUGAUCGACCUCAAUUUUGGUUCUGCUUUCUGAUAUAUGAUUUGAUUUGGUUUGAUUUUGAUUGUUCUCACUGGACUUGCCGGGUCUUCUCGCGCACAGCAUACUUCCAUAGGUCUCCGUCUCUGGUCAUUUCCUUGGUGAAUGUUGAAUUAUUAUGUCACUUAACUAUUCUCUUUAUCUUACUGUUUCUUUUCCUCUUUCAGAAUAUCAGAUAAUGUUGACAUAAAAGAAAUCUUGUCGUUCAGAUGUGACUUUUGAUUUUUUAUGGACUUUCAUCAACUAAAGGAAGACGAUAUAUUUAUAAGGAGCCUUCAUCAAUACAUCAUCGUUUUUAUAUUGAUAUAAUCUAUAAAUCUGUAAAUUAUUAAUUAAGGUGCUUAAUUACUAAUCACUGACUCGUUGCUUGUAUCUGAAUACGGUAAGUUGAUUUUCUUUAAGGCUGUAAUGAUAAUAAUAAUAAUGUAAAUUAUAGAAUUAUGUGACCCUCUCGAUGUUACAGUAAUUAUUUGGAAGGCAUAACAAUAAGGAAAUGUAUUUGCUCGUCUUAAAUAACUUCCGAAGUGAAAUGUUAAUUUGUUGUUUAUGAAAACCUAUUCUCAACAGUUACAUGUGAUAUAAAGUAAAUUAAUUAGUAAAAUGAGAGUAUUGUGGUAUAAUUAAUUAGUAAGAUCAGAGUAAUGUAGCAUAAUUAAUUAGUAAAAUGAGAGGACUAUCAUUUUACUAUGGUUAAUGUGAUGAAGGCUGUCACAUAAAUAAACGUUGGCCUGUUGUUUAUGAGGCACUGAUUAAUCGGUAAGUUGGCGAGGAUUUCUUCUAAGGUUAUACUAAUAAUAGUAAUGAUGAUGAUCGUUUCAAAUUUUGCCAGUCGAAUACAUAGAACUCAGUAUUUCCCAAAAGGGAUGAAAGGCAAAGUCGACGUCGGCCGUAUUUGCAGUCAGGACUUUCCGCUGAGUUCGACUUCGACUUUCGUUCGCUUUGGGUGCAUAAAAUAAUAAUGGUGAUGAUGAUGAUAUCAAUUUUUAGUACUUUAAAGGCGGCAAGCUGGAGGAAACGUUGGCACGCAGGGCGGAAUGCAUAGCGGUAUUUCACCUCCCGUUACGUUCCGAGUUCAAAUUCCGCCGAGGUCGACUUUGCCUUUCAUCCUUUCGGGGUCAAUAAAUUAAGUACCAGUUGUUGACUGGGGUCGAUAUAAUCGACUUAAUCCGUUUGUUUGUCCCCUCUAUGCUUAGCCCCUUGUGGGCAGUAAAGAAAUAAGAAACAUUAGUACGGUAUUUCAUGUGUCUACGUUCUGAGUUGAAAUUCCGCCGAGGUUGACUUUGCCUUUCAUCCUUUCGGGGUCGAUAAAUUAAGUACCAGUUACGCACUAGGGUCAAUAUAAUCGACUUAAUCCGCUUGUCUGUCCUUGUUUGUCCCCUCUAUGUUUAGCCCCAUGUGGGCAGUAAAGAAAUAAGAAACGUUAGUACGGUAUUUCGUGUGUAUUUACGUUCUGAGUUCAAAUUCCACCGUCGUCGACUUUGCCCUUCAUGCUUUCAUGGUUGAUAAAUUAAGUACCAGUUGUUAACUGGGGUCGAUCUAAUCUACUAACUCCCGCCGCAAAAAUUUCGGGCCUUGUGCCUAAAGUAGAAAAGAAUGUUUAGUACAUGAGACACAAUGUCUGUAUUUUGGCGGGAGAGUGUAGGUCGAUUCAAUGGAACCCAGCGCUCUACUGCUUCUUCUUCUUCUUCUUCUUUACCUUACUGCUUCUUUUUCUAUUUCAGAAUAUCACUUCAUGUUGACAUGAAAGAAAUUUCCUCAUUCAGAUGUACCUCUGGUAUUUUUAUUGACUUUUAUGGAUCAAAGGAAGACCAUAUUUUUAUAAGGCACAUUCAUCAAUACUUCAACCUCUUUAUAUGAAUAAAAUCUUCAUCAAGCGAUGGGGAAAUAUUUC
rnacentral:lncRNA from 1 species